rnacentral:lncRNA from 1 species
UGGAUGGUGUCCUGUGGCAGAGGGUGGAGCAGGAGGGGGAUCCAGUUAAGACACAGUCUCCAGAAGUAGCCUGAGCCAAGGAGCUGCUUGCGUGGCUGAGGACCCUGAGGUGGUUCAUUUAUCUGAAGACUCCACAUGAAAGGCAGCCCCCUGUGUCCUGGAGAGCAGAGAAUCACACCCUGUGGAUGGGAUAGGAUCGAGUCCCCUGCGCUCAGGAUGAACCAGACGUUGAUGGAUCGCUGUCAUCAGCCAAGGCUGCCGGAGGCUUGUUUUCACGAGUUCUCUCAACUGCUGCAGGAGCUUAGGAGCAGGUGACCUGAACUUGAGACUUCCUGACCUGGUCUCUGAAUGAAAUAAGAGGAGGUGACAGGCUCUGUACCAGCAACUUUUGUGUCCGCUGAGGGUGGGGAUCCUGUGAGGCCGGGGAAGCACAAUUGUCCUGUCCCUGGGCACAAGGCCAGCUGCAGCGAGACAGGUUCACAGGUGGAGGGGUGAUCACGGAAGGGCGUGCCCGGGCUGUGGAAAACUGGAGAAAGUUGGUCCUUGGAUGGGGUGUGGAAAGAACAUGAGCUAUGGGUGGGGAGGAGCCAGGAUGAUUGACAGCUCUGAGCAGUGGAGGAAAAACUGUCUCCCCAAGUAGAGAUCUGAGGUUUCCACAGUACAGUAGGAGCUGAGUCUGUCACAUGGUGGUUCACCCAGAUUCACAGACUGGGUGGUCACCUGGCACAUUCCAGCAAAAGUGCUGCCCCCUGGAAACCAAGGCCAUCCAUGCAGCUGAGCCAGUGGCCACUACCAGAUUUUGAAUUUUG